UCUUACAACCGAGGUGCAAGGGCUGUCGCUGACCCUUCAAAGGUCGUGCACGCCCGAGCGCUCUCACCACAAUCCAUCUCACCCUUUUGUGCAUCACCGCGUGGGUCCCCCUUUGCGGGAGGGCCCGCGUUUUCACAUAAAACUUGACACAGUCUAGAAUGUUUAUUUUUGCGGUCACACGCAAUCAAUA
rnacentral:misc_RNA from 1 species